rnacentral:rRNA from 1 species
GACGAACGCUGGCGGCGUGCCUAAUACAUGCAAGUCGAACGCAGUGGGGACGGGUGAGUAACACGUGGGUAACCUCCCCUCAGAGGGGAUAAGACUUGGAAAUAGGUGCUAAACCGAUAUUGAUGGAUGGACCCGCGGUGCAUUAGCUCGUUUGUGAGGUAACGGCUCACCAAGGCCACGAUGCAUAGCCUACCUGAGAGGGUGAUCGGCCACACUAGGAUUGAGCCACGCGCCGGCCUCCGACGGUAGGCAGCAGAAGAGAAACGUCUGCUGUGGACGAAGGUCUGGCCGAAAAACGCCGCGUGAGUGAAGAAGGUUUUCGGAUCUUAAUACUCUGUUUUUAGAUAAGCGGUAUCUAACCAGAAAGCCACGGCUAACUACGUGCCAGCCGCCGCGGUAAUAC